rnacentral:lncRNA from 1 species
AGCAAAGGUAUGGAGCCAGACAUGGCAUGUUCAAUGAUCCAAAGGCUUGCUGAGGAUGGAUAUACAGUUGGAACUUUACAUGCUGAUAAUGAUGCUACUACUCAAUCAAGACUACCUCGUUCAAUAAUAAAAAAAGAUGAUAAAACACAUGUGAAGAAAAAUCUCUCCAAACGUCUCUAUGGUCCUUCAAAAAACUACAAACAGUUAAAGUCAGCAAAAGUCAUCCCCUACAUAGUGAGGUG